GACUCUCUGCAGAAGAUUGUUUUUCUUUUUCUACAAAAUAAACCAACGUCAACCAUUGUGCAAGCUGAUCAACUUAAAACUUUUGAAGAGCUUCAGAGAUGAGAUUAGAACUUGCAGAUUUCUGGCACCAUGUCUAUGCUGAGUCCACAGACAAUUUAACCUCUAUAGCAUUUAUUGUGCUAAUGCAUGGAACCUGGUGGUGGUACUGCUGCAUUUGUAUCCACCUUAGUCGGAUUUUUCAUACCAAUGUCAUACAACAAAAUCUUCGUGUGGAGUUGUGACACUGUGAUAUGCAUCAAAAGGAGUUAAAAGGCGUAAGUCAUUCUAAGAGGAUGUUUGCAUUGACACAUUUUAUUAAACAGCCCUUCAGCCUGUGAAUGUAAAAUGCUGAGUCUCUUCUGCACUUCCAGAACAGCAAGAGCAGUGAUCUCCGGAGUCAGCAGAAACUUGGCAAGCUCACACUGCUCCUGAUCUGAGACAGCCUUAAGUUUCCCUUAUCCACAUCACUUGGCUUGGAUUGUGCCAGGUAUUUUUGAAACAUGGAGGAAUAGGACUUGGCUUUCCUAUAUACAAAUAAGCACGUCCUUUAGAGAGUAGCUCUCAUUUCAGUCACCAGCGAGUUUCAUUGUGAUUCUAGUAUUUUCUUAGAGGAAAAGACCUUAACCCUGACUCAGCUGAGGUUGGGCGCAAGGUUUGGUAUACUUUUUCAGACAAACUAUUGCUGAAUCAAACAACAAUAAUCAGAGGAAUGGAAAAAAAUCAGCAUUAAAGUGAUUAGCUCCAUACACAUCCCAGUUGUUUCUCUCCCUGUUUGUGCUUUUAAAGCCUUUAGUUACUCACCCUUUUUAUGUGCUUGUAUAUCUUUCCCAGAAUGCCAGUUGGUGGCUUCUCAAAGUCAUUUUAAAGCACUGAAUGUUUUCUGUGACUGUAGCCACUGUUGACUGAGUAGAAUAGAGUUAUUUUGCACAAGGAACAGAACAGACAAGAAAGUCUAAGAGCCACAUUUCUCCUCGUCCUCAUGUUGUCCACUCCUGUGGCAAUCUCAUCUUGAAGGAGAGGUUACUACCAGCCCAUCUUGAUUCAUAUCCAGUUAACAGUGAAGAUAUUCUGGCCUAAAUACAAGGCAGUCAGAUCCCUGUGAUAUAUGUAUUCAUAAAUGCACUUUCAUUUUCACACUUUCACAAGAAGAAUCCAUCUUCUGCAGUAAUUGUGUUUAUUUUUAUGGCUGAGAAAAAUGGAUCAUCAUUAACAGAAAGUCGAAACUCCCACAGUAUUAAUGAAAGAAAAUUAUCAUAGUGAUUCUUCAGAAAAAGUUUGCCAGCUUUUAUAAUACCACUUAAUAUUUUCAAGCAAUCUUAGCGUCCCCAUUUGUAUAAUAUAAAAUAACUUCUAGUGUGGUUCCUGAGCGCUGCAAAAACGAUAGGAAUAGGAUACUUCCACUGUCAGUCAAUAAAAUGAAAGAUUUAAUCCUUUUGGUGAUAACCUUCUUAUCAAACCACUCUCCCAGUAUGGUAAAAAGCUUGUUUCUCCUUUUAGCUCUCAUCUAACUUUGGUUUCGCACAAGCACUAGUUACCUCUUUCUUUUAGGAUUCUUCUCCAGGAAACCAAGCUGUAGUUCAGAAAAUAUUCGCUUGAACUGUCCAAGCUACGAGAUUUGCAUGAUCAGCACAGUGUAUAGCAAUCCUGAUGACACUUACACAGCCUUUCCUCAUUAGCUUGUACUCAUGCUUUUUCUGUCUUGCCAGCAGUAACACUCAAGACCCUGUCUGCCAGGAGAUAAUCUGUGAAUUCUUCUGAAUUACCACUUAGAGAAAGGUUUUGUUUUCUUUGGCACCUCAGAUAUCAGCAAAUCUCUGUCAUGAUUGAGGCAGACAUUUUGCAAUUGGUGUCAUAAGUUGCAUCAUUCUAAAUGAGUACAAACAGUAGUAAAACAGACUUUGAAAUAUGUUUGUAUGAGUAAUGAGUGCAGCAGCUUAAUCUUUGACAUAUUGCUGUGUUUUGAAGAGGCAUCUCUUUGCCCCUCUCUUUACCCCUUACUUCACAGGAUGUAGCCAUUUGUUCUGGGGAAAACUGACAUCAAAAGUACUUACCAGCAUCUUUCAUGGUGCUGAACUUGGAGAGGAAUUUUUGUCCAAAUUUAUUGCACAUAGAUGACUUAUAUAGUUUUACUGUUUGUCAUUCAGUGAACUUAACCAGUUUCAUGUGUCUAUAUUAACAUGUUCCUUUCCUGACAUGAAUUUGCUAAUGUUCUCCUUUCCUUUUCGAAGGAUUGUAUGCCCUGAGGGAAAUCCUGAGGCCUCUUGCUUCUGCCUGAAAUGGAUUUCUUUUCGUAACAAGAAAAAGAAAGUUAUGUUUCUCUUCAAAAUGACAAAUAUUGUAGAUUUUUUUGCUAUCCUCUAAUCUUAGCUCUGAUUCCCCAGGAGGGCACUUUCCUAACUGUGUUUCCCAACACCUUCUUUUGUAUAUGUGCUAGAGAGAGAAAGUUUGUUACCUACUCUGAUAAAUGGUGUGAGGGAGAAAAGCCUUCUCAGAAGAUGUUAUAGCUUUGGAAAUUCUAGGUUAUUUUGAGAGACUGUCAACACUACAAUGAUUGGAUUUGAGAUAUCCAGGAAGGAGGAUAUAGGCUGCUAAAAUCAUGAAUUUCCCUGUUGGGCUUGGAUUUGUGUUACAAACACAUAGUAUUGAUUGUUUCCCUUAAUAAAGAAUAUCUCCAGG